CAGCUUCAGCACAUCUCAGCUGCUGUCAAUAAACUUUCUUGUGUGUGCCAGCUUCCUAUAGCAAUGGAAGCAAACCAGAACUGCCCACUUCUUAUGACAUUUUCCAUCAAUUUUUUACAAAGCCUGAGCAUUUGAAUAGUGCUUCACUGUUUACAGAGCAAUUUCCCUUUCUCACAACCAUCCUCAUUUUACAGGUGAAGGAUCUAAAACCUGAAAAGAGGCCAAAUGAUUCCUCAAAACCACGCAAGUACGAAGUAGCAGAGCGGAUCUCAAAUCCAGAGCACUGCGUGUUUUGAAAUAUACAAAUAGUGGGAAACGAAAUCUUUGUUCUGGAUGCAGUUAUAAUUUGGAAAGCGAGGAAAUAAAUUAUAACAAGGGGAAAAAACAGACACAGAGGGAUUGAAAUGCAUAACAAUAGAGAUGAAACACGAAGAGUGAUAAAUGAAGAUUGAGUGUGCACACCUUCUGGAGGAGCCCUGAUUGAGUAUUUUAAAAUACUACUAAAGUCAUGCCGUGUGACUUCUGAAGCUAGCUCCUAAGAAGUCCUUGCAGCUUCUGCCUGCGACUCUUAGAACACUUGCUUUGAAGGAUGCCAGAUGCUGUCUUAAAAGUCUGAGCACUCUGAAACCAUCAUGCUGUGAGGAAGCCCAAGCUAACCACAUGGGCAAAAAAGAUGCCCUCUGACUGCCACCAUUUGAGACACUCUAAUUAAGAACUGCCUCAUUGAGCCCAUGAGGCCCUGUGAAUGAUAAUAAUAAAUUGUUUUUAACCACUAUGUUUUUGGAUUUGUUAUAAGUUUAUAGAUAACAAGAAAAAGUUAUAUUAGCAUGGUAAUAAAAUUAUGGAUAUGUGUAAGUUUGGUGUUUUGUUUCUUUUUUUUUUUUACACUAAGCCUAUAUUACUGUUGUAAUUUAGGAAAUCACUUGUUUUCCUCCAGCACUUCAAUGUAAGAGUGGCACUACUUAGAAUGUACUUCUUAAGAUAUGGCU
rnacentral:lncRNA from 10 species